rnacentral:rRNA from 1 species
GGACGAACGCUGGCGGCGUGCCUAACACAUGCAAGUCGAACGGAAGCAAAGAUUUCGGUUUUUGCUUUAGUGGCGAACGGGUGAGUAACGCGUGAGGAACCUGCCUUUCAGUGGGGGACAACAGUUGGAAACGACUGCUAAUACCGCAUAAUACUUUUGAGUGGCAUCACUUAAAAGUCAAAGAUCCGUCGCUUGCGGAUGGGGAUGCGUCUGAUUAGUUAGUCGGCGGGGUAACGGCCCACCGAGACGACGAUCAGUAGGGGUUCUGAGAGGAAAGUCCCCCACAUUGGAACUGAGACACGGUCCAAACUCCUACGGGAGGCAGCAGUGAGGAAUAUUGGUCAAUGGGCGGAAGCCUGAACCAGCCAAGUAGCGUGCAGGACGACAGCCCUAUGGGUUGUAAACUGCUUUUAUGCGGGGAUAAAGUGGGCCACGCGUGGCCUUUUGCAGGUACCGCAUGAAUAAGGACCGGCUAAUUCCGUG